UACGGGGGGAGCAAGCGUUGUUCGGAUUUACUGGGCGUAAAGGGCGCGUAGGCGGCCAGCACAAGUCGGUUGUGAAAUCUCCGGGCUUAACUCGGAAAGGUCAACUGAUACUGUGCGACUAGAGUGCGGAAGGGGCAACUGGAAUUCUUGGUGUAGCGGUGAAAUGCGUAGAUAUCAAGAGGAACACCUGCGGCGAAGGCGGGUUGCUGGGCCGACACUGACGCUGAGGCGCGAAAGCCAGGGGAGCGAACGGG
rnacentral:rRNA from 1 species